rnacentral:rRNA from 1 species
CAGUCGCCGCGGGAAUACGUAGGGUGCGAGCGUUAAUCGGAAUUACUGGGCGUAAAGCGUGCGCAGGCGGUUUUGUAAGACAGGCGUGAAAUCCCCGGGCUCAACCUGGGAAUGGCGCUUGUGACUGCAAAGCUAGAGUGCGGCAGAGGGGGAUGGAAUUCCGCGUGUAGCAGUGAAAUGCGUAGAUAUGCGGAGGAACACCGAUGGCGAAGGCAAUCCCCUGGGCCUGCACUGACGCUCAUGCACGAAAGCGUGGGGAGCAAACAGGAUUAGAUACCCGCGUAGUCCCUGUCUCUUAUAC